rnacentral:rRNA from 1 species
GCGGUGGAGCAUGUGGUUUAAUUCGAAGCAACGCGAAGAACCUUACCAGGUCUUGACAUCCUUUGACCACUCUAGAGAUAGAGCUUUCCCUUCGGGGACAAAGUGACAGGUGGUGCAUGGUUGUCGUCAGCUCGUGUCGUGAGAUGUUGGGUUAAGUCCCGCAACGAGCGCAACCCUUAUUGUUAGUUGCCAUCAUUUAGUUGGGCACUCUAGCGAGACUGCCGGUGACAAACCGGAGGAAGGUGGGGAUGACGUCAAAUCAUCAUGCCCCUUAUGACCUGGGCUACACACGUGCUACAAUGGGAAGUACAACGAGUCGCUAGACCGCGAGGUCAUGCAAAUCUCUUAAAGCUUCUCUCAGUUCGGAUUGCAGGCUGCAACUCGCCUGCAUGAAGCCGGAAUCGCUAGUAAUCGCGGAUCAGCACGCCGCGGUGAAUACGUUCCCGGGCCUUGUACACACCGCCCGUCACACCACGAGAGUUUGUAACACCCGAAGUCGGUGAGGUAACCUUUUUGGAGCCAGCCGCCUAAGGUGGGAUAGA